rnacentral:rRNA from 1 species
UGGGCAACCUGCCCCUAGCUCUGGGAUAACCCCGGGAAACCGGAGCUAAUACCGGAUACGAGACCGAGCGACAUCGCUCAGUCUGGAAAGUUUUUCGGCCAGGGAUGGGCUCGCGGCCUAUCAGCUUGUUGGUGAGGUAAUGGCUCACCAAGGCGACGACGGGUAGCCGGCCUGAGAGGGCGACCGGCCACACUGGGACUGAGACACGGCCCAGACCUCCCGUACGGGAGGCA